rnacentral:rRNA from 1 species
AACGAACGCUGGCGGCAGGCUUAACACAUGCAAGUCGAGCGAGACCUUCGGGUCUAGCGGCGGACGGGUGAGUAACGCGUGGGGACGUGCCCUUCUCUACGGAAUAGCCCCGGGAAACUGGGAGUAAUACCGUAUACGCCCUUUGGGGGAAAGAUUUAUCGGAGAAGGAUCGGCCCGCGUUGGAUUAGGUAGUUGGUGGGGUAAUGGCCCACCAAGCCGACGAUCCAUAGCUGGUUUGAGAGGAUGAUCAGCCACACUGGGACUGAGACACGGCCCAGACUCCUACGGGAGGCAGCAGUGGGGAAUCUUAGACAAUGGGGGCAACCCUGAUCUAGCCAUGCCGCGUGAGUGAUGAAGGCCUUAGGGUUGUAAAGCUCUUUCAGCUGGGAAGAUAAUGACGGUACCAGCAGAAGAAGCCCCGGCUAACUCCGUG